UGUACUUUAAAAAAAAAGAGAAAAAAAAAAUCCUUUUUGUAACAAGUGCAGAAAACAAAGAAAAAAAAGAUACUGGUUGCAUUGUAAUUCAUGCAACAUGCUUUUUUUUAAGAAAAGGAAAACACAAAUUUGGCCUUCGCACAUUUUUUGCAAAGAACAGAAGGAUGAGACUCCCUUUAACCCACCCUCCAGCCAUCACCGGAGGGCAGAGCUAUGACAGUGGGAAGAAGGGAAAGAAACUCCAUGGUAAAUUAGACCUCCGGACUGUUGGCUGGGAAUUAACCCAAGGAAGAGGGCAGUGCCUGAUUGCUACCUGUGGAUGGAGGGUUUGCAGCAAUUUCUAAGAGACGGACCAGAGGCUGAAAAUGGCCAGUGGGUGUGAUUUUAAAGAGUUGGGAUGAUGUGGAGCUGGGAGCCGAAGGUGCUGUAGGCAAGGAAGGCUCAGCCAUCCUGGCAGAAACAGAGUCACAGAUGUCUGGUGGCGCCUGCGGCCCUGGAGUCACCCAACACCGGAAUCCCACCUUUCUAAACCUGCCUGUUGUUCUCGAAGACUUCUGAACCCGCAGCUUCGGCAAAAGGACCCUCCAAGCUGCCUCUGGACGACCACCACUGGAGACUCUGGCCUUACCAUGUGGACAUAGUUUUCCUGAAGUCUGGAACUAAUUUUGAGAAGUUUUUUUCUCAACACUUUUGUGUUUCUAACACUGUAUUCUCGACUGUGUAAAUACCGACAAGGCUGUAAAUAAAUGCAGAUGUAGAUACCUUCUAGAAAAAAAAAAAAAAGGCAUAAAAACAAAACCAGAAGUGAUCCUGUGUAGCCUUCGUUGACAAAUAAAAGAAUAUUUUGUGU
rnacentral:lncRNA from 1 species